UACGGAGGGUGCAAGCAUUAAUCGGAUUUAUUGGGCGUAAAGGGCGCGUAGGCGGUCGUACUAGUCAGAUGUGAAAUCCCGGGGCUCAACCCCGGAACAGCAUUUGAUACUAUAUGACUAGAGGGUAGGCGGAGAAAACGGAAUUCCACGUGUAGCGGUGAAAUGCGUAGAUAUGUGGAGGAACACCGGUGGCGAAGGCGGUUUUCUAGCUUAUUCCUGACGCUGAUGCGCGAAAGCAAGGGGAUCAAAC
rnacentral:rRNA from 1 species